GACGAACGCUGGCGGCGUGCUUAACACAUGCAAGUCGUACGGUAAGGCCCUUUCGGGGGUACACGAGUGGCGAACGGGUGAGUAACACGUGAGUAACCUGCCCACAACUUUGGGAUAACGCUAGGAAACUGGUGCUAAUACUGGAUAUGUGCUCCUGCUGCAUGGUGGGGGUUGGAAAGCUCCGGCGGUUGGGGAUGGACUCGCGGCCUAUCAGCUUGUUGGUGGGGUAGUGGCCUACCAAGGCGGCGACGGGUAGCCGGCCUGAGAGGGUGACCGGCCACAUUGGGACUGGGAUACGGCCCAGACUCCUACGGGAGGCAGCAGUGGGGAAUAUUGCACAAUGGGCGCAAGCCUGAUGCAGCAACGCCGCGUGCGGGAUGACGGCCUUCGGGUUGUAAACCGCUUUCAGCAGGGACGAAGCUUUUUGUGACGGUACCUGCAGAAGAAGCACCGGCUAACUACGUG
rnacentral:rRNA from 1 species